rnacentral:rRNA from 1 species
UGGGGAAUAUUGCACAAUGGGCGCAAGCCUGAUGCAGCCAUGCCGCGUGUAUGAAGAAGGCCUUCGGGUUGUAAAGUACUUUCAGCGGGGAGGAAGGUGUUGUGGUUAAUAACCGCAGCAAUUGACCUUACCCGCAGAAGAAGCACCGGCUAACUCCGUG